CAAUAGCGUAUAUUAAAGUUGUUGCAGUUAAAAGCUCGUAGUUGGAUUUGUGGCGUACGGUGUGUUCCGGGCACUUGUUGUCUGAGUAACCUGCCGUUGCCAUCCUUGGGUGGAACCUGUGUGGCAUUAGGUUGUCGUGCAGGGGAUGCCCAUCAUUUACUGUGAAAAAUUAGAGUGUCAAAGCAGGCUUAUGCCGUUGAAUAUAUUAGCAUGGAAUAAUAAGAUAGGACUUGUUUGCUAUUUUGUUGGUUUGCGCAAAUAGGUAAUGAUUAAUAGGGACAGUUGGGGGGUUAUUCUAUUCCAUUGUCAGAGGUGAAAUUCUUGGAUUUUUGGAAGACGAACUACUGCGAAAGCAUUUACCAAGGAUGUUUUCAUUAAUCAAGAACGAAAGUUAGGGGAUCGAAGAUGAUCAGAUACCA
rnacentral:rRNA from 1 species